UACGGAGGGUGCAAGCGUUGUUCGGAAUCAUUGGGCGUAAAGCGCGUGUAGGCGGCUUGGCAAGUCAGUUGUGAAAGCCCGGGGCCCAACCCCGGAACUGCAUCUGAAACUGCCUGGCUAGAGUCCCGGAGAGGAAGGCAGAAUUCCCGGUGUAGGGGUGAAAUCCGUAGAUAUCGGGAGGAAUACCAGCGGCGAAGGCGGCCUUCUGGACGGUGACUGACGCUGAGACGCGAAAGCGUGGGGAGCAAAC
rnacentral:rRNA from 2 species